UACGUGAGGUGCAAGCGUUGUCCGGAAUUAUUGGGCGUAAAGAGCUUGUAGGCGGUUUGUCGGCGUCUGCUGUGAAAUUUCGGGGCUCAACCCCGAACUUGCAGUGGGUACGGGCAGACUAGAGUGUGGUAGGGGAGACUGGAAUUCCUGGUGUAGCGGUGAAAUGCGCAGAUAUCAGGAGGAACACCGAUGGCGAAGGCAGGUCUCUGGGCCAUAACUGACGCUGAGAAGCGAAAGCAUGGGGAGCGAACAGGAUUAGAUACCUAGUAA
rnacentral:rRNA from 1 species